rnacentral:siRNA from 1 species
GUAUUCUUGAGGUCCCUA